UUUGAUCCUGGCUCAGAGCGAACGCUGGCGGCAGGCUUAACACAUGCAAGUCGAGCGGGCGUAGCAAUACGUCAGCGGCAGACGGGUGAGUAACGCGUGGGAACGUACCUUUUGGUUCGGAACAACACAGGGAAACUUGUGCUAAUACCGGAUAAGCCCUUACGGGGAAAGAUUUAUCGCCGAAAGAUCGGCCCGCGUCUGAUUAGCUAGUUGGUGAGGUAAUGGCUCACCAAGGCGACGAUCAGUAGCUGGUCUGAGAGGAUGAUCAGCCACAUUGGGACUGAGACACGGCCCAAACUCCUACGGGAGGCAGCAGUGGGGAAUAUUGGACAAUGGGCGCAAGCCUGAUCCAGCCAUGCCGCGUGAGUGAUGAAGGCCCUAGGGUUGUAAAGCUCUUUUGUGCGGGAAGAUAAUGACGGUACCGCAAGAAUA
rnacentral:rRNA from 3 species